rnacentral:misc_RNA from 1 species
AGUGGCACUUCCAGUUAAAACUAGAGAACCAAGAAAACAAAAUUAAGAAAUAGGAAUACUUGCUGGUAAUUAUGCAUCAAUGACUUGAAAACUCAAGAAACCUAUAUUUAGGGCAUAAAUUGGUCAACAUGUUUCUCUUAAAAGUAUUUAGGGCAUAAAUUGGCCAACAUGUUUCUCUUAAAAGAAUGCGUGGCAUAAUUAUAACAUGUAAGUAAAGGCAGAAUCAUGCAUAAAAUCCUUAUGUGUCUAUUGGAAAAUCAUGUCAGUCAACCAGUGAACAGUACUGGAUUUCACAUUUAUUUAAUGUUGUCAAAUUAACACAAGGAA